rnacentral:rRNA from 1 species
GAUGAACGCUGGCGGCGUGCCUAAUACAUGCAAGUCGAGCGAACGGACGAGAAGCUUGCUUCUCUGAUGUUAGCGGCGGACGGGUGAGUAACACGUGGAUAACCUACCUAUAAGACUGGGAUAACUUCGGGAAACCGGAGCUAAUACCGGAUAAUAUUUUGAACCGCAUGGUUCAAAAGUGAAAGACGGUCUUGCUGUCACUUAUAGAUGGAUCCGCGCUGCAUUAGCUAGUUGGUAAGGUAACGGCUUACCAAGGCAACGAUGCAUAGCCGACCUGAGAGGGUGAUCGGCCACACUGGAACUGAGACACGGUCCAGACUCCUACGGGAGGCAGCAGUAGGGAAUCUUCCGCAAUGGGCGAAAGCCUGACGGAGCAACGCCGCGUGAGUGAUGAAGGUCUUCGGAUCGUAAAACUCUGUUAUUAGGGAAGAACAUAUGUGUAAGUAACUGUGCACAUCUUGACGGUACCUAAUCAGAAAGCCACGGCUAACUACGUGCCAGCAGCCGCGGUAAUACGUAGGUGGCAAGCGUUAUCCGGAAUUAUUGGGCGUAAAGCGCGCGUAGGCGGUUUUUUAAGUCUGAUGUGAAAGCCCACGGCUCAACCGUGGAGGGUCAUUGGAAACUGGAAAACUUGAGUGCAGAAGAGGAAAGUGGAAUUCCAUGUGUAGCGGUGAAAUGCGCAGAGAUAUGGAGGAACACCAGUGGCGAAGGCGACUUUCUGGUCUGUAACUGACGCUGAUGUGCGAAAGCGUGGGGAUCAAACAGGAUUAGAUACCCUGGUAGUCCACGCCGUAAACGAUGAGUGCUAAGUGUUAGGGGGUUUCCGCCCCUUAGUGCUGCAGCUAACGCAUUAAGCACCCCGCCUGGGGAGUACGACCGCAAGGUUGAAACUCAAAGGAAUUGACGGGGACCCGCACAAGCGGUGGAGCAUGUGGUUUAAUUCGAAGCAACGCGAAGAACCUUACCAAAUCUUGACAUCCUUUGACAACUCUAGAGAUAGAGCUUUCCCCUUCGGGGGACAAAGUGACAGGUGGUGCAUGGUUGUCGUCAGCUCGUGUCGUGAGAUGUUGGGUUAAGUCCCGCAACGAGCGCAACCCUUAAGCUUAGUUGCCAUCAUUAAGUUGGGCACUCUAAGUUGACUGCCGGUGACAAACCGGAGGAAGGUGGGGAUGACGUCAAAUCAUCAUGCCCCUUAUGAUUUGGGCUACACACGUGCUACAAUGGACAAUACAAAGGGCAGCGAAACCGCGAGGUCAAGCAAAUCCCAUAAAGUUGUUCUCAGUUCGGAUUGUAGUCUGCAACUCGACUACAUGAAGCUGGAAUCGCUAGUAAUCGUAGAUCAGCAUGCUACGGUGAAUACGUUCCCGGGUCU